AUUGAACGCUGGCGGCAGGCCUAACACAUGCAAGUCGAGCGGAUGAAGGGAGCUUGCUCCUGGAUUCAGCGGCGGACGGGUGAGUAAUGCCUAGGAAUCUGCCUGGUAGUGGGGGAUAACGUCCGGAAACGGGCGCUAAUACCGCAUACGUCCUGAGGGAGAAAGUGGGGGAUCUUCGGACCUCACGCUAUCAGAUGAGCCUAGGCCGGAUUAGCUAGUUGGUGGGGUAAAGGCCUACCAAGGCGACGAUCCGUAACUGGUCUGAGAGGAUGAUCAGGCACACUGGAACUGAGACACGGUCCAGACUCCUACGGGAGGCAGCAGUGGGGAAUAUUGGACAAUGGGCGAAAGCCUGAUCCAGCCAUGCCGCGUGUGUGAAGAAGGUCUUCGGAUUGUAAAGCACUUUAAGUUGGGAGGAAGGGCAGUAAGUUAAUACCUUGCUGUUUUGACGUUACCAACAGAAUAAGCACCGGCUAACUUCGUG
rnacentral:rRNA from 1 species